ensembl:lncRNA
AAAGUUCUGGGGACCACAUGAAAAUAGCCAUCACUUUCAAGCAAUGGAGAAAUACAAACUGAGCUGUUACCCAUAUUUCUGCAGAAUGAUCGACCAUAAAGGAACCCGCAGGCGUACAAGGAAAAACCCGCCAUGGUCACAGGGAUAACUCCCUGUGGCCGUGGGAGAAGCCAGAGACGCCGGAGGAGGAAGCUCGGCGUCUCUGCACUUAUUCCGGCUACUCCCCUCCAAUUCGUCCGGAGAGAGGGGAGUAUUCCUGGAAGGGCAAUUGGGGAUCUGACACCCUCUCAUCGGACGAUGAGGAGGUGGACUAUAGGAGAGUGGAGGAAGAACUCCUGGGGGAACAAGAAUGGAGGUCGCCCCAAGAACUUUGGGGAGAGGUCAAGCCCCUCACUCGGCAGGAGGAGGAAGUGUUUAAGGGACUUCUACAAGAUAUUCAGGAGGCGGAGAGGACGGGACGUAGGAGAGGAGGCUGUAGGAGGAAGCGGCAGCCCGAGCCUCCUACCUGCCAUGGGAUGGACGGGAAGAGUAGUCCCCUGGCCAUUCGCCCAGUGGCCGCAGCCGCCAGCUGUUCUCCCACUUAAAAAGAUGAGAGGCCUUCACCCAUGAGAAACAAAAUGGGGGAAAAAAAAUCCAGAAAAUCACAUUGUAGGAUUUUUAAUGAAUUUAUUGGUAAAUUAUGGUGGAAAAUAAGUAUUUGGUCAAUAACAAAAGUUCAUCUCAAUACUUUGAUUUAUACCCUUUGUUGGCAAUGACAGAGGUCAAACGUUUUCUGUUAGUCUUCACAAGGUUUUCACACACUGUUGCUGGUAUUUUGGCCCAUUCCUCCAUGCAGAUCUCAUCUAGAGCAGUGAUGUUUUGGGGGUGUCGCUGGGCAACACGGACUUUCAACUCCCUCCAAAGAUUUUCUACUGGCUAGGCCACUCCAGGACCUUAAUGCUUCUUACGAAGCCACUCCUUCGUUGCCCGGGCGGUGUGUUUGGGAUCAUUGUCAUGCUGAAAGACCCAGCCAUGUUUCAUCUUCAAUGCCCUUGCUGAUGGAAGGAGGUUUUCACUCAAUCUCACGAUACAUGGCCCCAUUCAUUCUUUCCUUUACACGGAUCAGUCGUCCUGGUCCCAAAGCAUGAUGUUUCCACCCCCAUGCGUCACAGUAGGUAUGGUGUUCUUUGGAUGCAACUGGUUUCAUCUGACCAUAUGACAUUCUCCCAAUCAUCUUCUGGACUAUCCAAAUGCUCUCUAGCAAACCUCAGACGGGCCUGGACAUGUACUGGCUUAAGCAGGGGGACACGUCUGGCACUGCAGGAUUUUAGUCCCUGGCGGCGUAGUGUGUUACUGAUGGUAGCCUUUGUUACUUUGGUCCCAGCUCUCUGCAGGUCAUUCACUAGGUCCCCCUGUGAUGUUCUGGGAUUUUUGCUCACCAUUCUUGUGAUCAUUUUGACCCCACGUUGUGAGAUCUUGCGUGGAGCCCCGGAUCGAGGGAGAUUAUCAGUGGCCUUGUAUGUCUUCCAUUUUCUUAUAAUUGCUCCCACACCAAGCUGUUUACUUAUUGCAGAUUCAGUCUUCCCAGCCUGGUGCAGGUCUACAAUUUUGUUUCUGGUGUCCUUUGAGAGCUCUUUGUUCUUGGCCAUAGUGGAGUUUGGAGUGUGACUGUUUGAGGUUGUGGACAGGUGUCUUUUAUACUGAUAACAAGUUGAAACAGGUGUCAUUAAUACAGGUAACGAGUGGAGGACAGAGGAGCCUCUUAAAGAAGAAGUUACAGGUCUGUGAGAGCCAGAAAUCUUGCUUGUUUGUAGGUGACCAAAUACUACUUUUACAGAGGAAUUUACCAAUAAAUUCACUGAAAAUCCUACAAUGUGAUUUUCUGGAUUUCUUUUCUCAUUUUGUCUCUCAUAGUUGAAGUGUACCUAUGAUGAAAUUACAGGCCUCUCUCAUCUCUUUUUAAGUGGGAGAACUUGCACAAUUGGUGGCUGACUAAAUACUUUUUUGCCCCACAGUACAAGCCUUUCUAACAUGAAAAUGUUAUCAUUGAUUUGUUUUUGCAUGCUGAUUUAUGUAAUAAAAGGUAGUUGGCUAACAAAAUUAUUACUGUCAGCUAGACAGUUGGCUUUUAUUUCAGCUUCUUUGUUGCCAAAAAAACAGAUAAAACCUAAGUUAUAGUAUUAACAAGUAUUAACAACUUAACUUACCUAGCUACUUUAUGAUGACUAGUGAAUGCUUAUUUCAUUAUUGCAAUCUUAGCUUACCUAGUUAAGCUAAAUUGUAACGAUUAGCCAGCCAUGUAGCUACAGUUUAAGGAAGAUUUGUUUGCUAAAACGUUUGACAAUUUCCCCCACACAAAGAUGGCUAGUCAGUUGAAGUGGAGGAUCUUCUUUGCCUCUAUCGAUUGUCAAGUAGGUGUUGUGUUGAUGCAAAUACAUGUACAGCUCACAUUGAGUUAAAAUGACUUAAACCAGUGUUACACAGUCAAAC